ACCAACCUGUAAGUAGCUGUCAG
rnacentral:snRNA from 1 species